UACGGGGGGAGCAAGCGUUGUUCGGAUUUACUGGGCGUAAAGGGCGCGUAGGCGGCGCAACAAGUCACUUGUGAAAUCUCCGGGCUUAACCCGGAGCGGCCAAGUGAUACUGUCGUGCUAGAGUGCGGAAGGGGCUACUGGAAUUCUCGGUGUAGCGGUGAAAUGCGUAGAUAUCGGGAGGAACACCGGUGGCGAAGGCGGCGACCUGGGUAGAUACUGACGCUGAGGCGCGAAAGCGUGGGGAGCAAACAGG
rnacentral:rRNA from 1 species